GUUAUCGUUUAUUUGAUAGUACCUUACUACAUGGAUAACCGUGGUAAUUCUAGAGCUAAUACAUGCUGAAAACCCCGACUUCGGAAGGGGUGUAUUUAUUAGAUAAAAAACCAAUGCNCUCCGGGGCUUCUUGGUGAUUCAUAAUAACUCAACGAAUCGCAUGGCCUUGAGCCGGCGAUGGUUCAUUCAAAUUUCUGCCCUAUCAACUUUCGAUGGUAGGAUAGUGGCCUACCAUGGUAUCAACGGGUAACGGGGAAUUAGGGUUCGAUUCCGGAGAGGGAGCCUGAGAAACGGCUACCACAUCCAAGGAAGGCAGCAGGCGCGCAAAUUACCCAAUCCCGACACGGGGAGGUAGUGACAAUAAAUACUGAUACAGGGCUCUUUUGGGUCUUGUAAUCGGAAUGAGUACAAUUCAAAUCUCUUAACGAGGAACAAUUGGAGGGCAAGUCUGGUGCCAGCAGCCGCGGUAAUUCCAGCUCCAAUAGCGUAUAUUAAAGUUGUUGCAGUUAAAAAGCUCGUAGUUGAACCUUGGGUUCGGCUGGCCGGUCCGCCUAACCGCGUGCACUGGUCUGGCCGGGCCCUUACCUCUGGGGAGCUGCAUGCCCUUCACUGGGCGUGUCAGGGAACCAGGACUUUUACUUUGAAAAAAUUAGAGUGUUCAAAGCAGGCCUUUGCUCGGAUACAUUAGCAUGGAAUAAUAGAAUAGG
rnacentral:rRNA from 1 species